UAUAAGAUUUUUCUUAUAUUUUGAGAAAUUUUCUUAGAUUUAAGAUAAGAAUCCGCAAAAUACUUAAGUGGUAUUCACAACUGUUUUUUAUCUUAAGUUUUGUCUUAAGAUGGACAAUUUUUGUCUUAAAUAUAAGUCAGCUACUACCCUAUCUUAAAGUUAAGAAAUUUCUUAACUUGGCAGUAAAUCAUCUUAAAAAUGGCGGACGGUAAAUCGUCGAUUCGAUUGAAAACUUGCGUUUUUUACUAGUAUUAGAUAUAUCAUUGAGGUAAUCAACGCCAAUAAUUACAGCAAUAAUGAUUUCGUUCAAAGUAAUUUAUACACACGAUAAAUGUGAGUAAAACAAGGGAGUUAAAUCGGCAAAAAUUGAAGACGCAAAGGAGACGCUCAUUUCACAAACCGGAGUAUGAUCGUCAGUUUCUUGCUGAUGAUAUCACACUAUUCAUGAACCUCGGAUUUUGUAGUCAUCCAGACUGACAGUAGUAUGGAGAAUAAAGAUAUCAACAUAGUAGCAACAUGUUACAUAAUUUAUAAUGCUGCUGAACAUAGCAUUACUUCAUUGACCAAAUACAUGGAGAAUGAAUCAGGAUUAAUGUGUAGUGACUAUAUACUACCAUAAUGUAUCAGAUUUUCUAUCUGACACCUCAUGGCAUAUAACAUCAAAUAUCACCUGUUGCAACUUUAAAUCAUGGACACUUAAUACAUGAAAAACACAUAGAAACAAUGAAGACUUAACUGUGUUCAUAAACACUGGAACUCAUCAGAGGAAUCAAACUCUAGAAGACCACUAGUAAUCCAAAAGAUUUAUACCUGGGUACAUCAUCAAGGAGCCUUAUAGUCACUAACUUUUAAAAUGUUAUAUCUAUCACUGCCGAUUGUGUUCAUAAUGUGCCAGAGGAAUUGGUCCAAUGUUUUCAUCGAAAAACACAUGAACAUUCUAACUUGUGAGAAACUAGAAGACUAUCAAAGGGAUCACUAUGAAAGAAAAUUUCAUUCAUGGAAAAAGAACUGUGUGAAUUAAGAUCAGAAUUAACAUUUACUAGUAAUUGUUUUCAGUAAGAUUAUCAGCUCCACUUUUUAUAGAAGAAAAAAUGAAUGUUAUAUUCAUUCGGUAUGACUGACCUGUUGGUGUUGUUGAUUUUCAUUAUACAAUACUUACAAAUCUAUUACAUCAAAACUUUAUAUGUGGAUGAACCUUGAUGAGUUCAACCUGGUACCCUCAUUUUCAGGUCAAAAGGUCAAAGUCACUGGGACUUGUGGUAACCAAACAUAAAACUAGCCAUUUAAUAGGCAUUUACUGAGGAACAUCAGACUUUGACAAAUUGUAUGUACCACAUUUAACCAUGAUGAGACUUGUACCUGCCAUGAUACUCAUUUUGGGUCAAAGGUCAUGGUGAUGGUUCACAAUGACCUGUGUUGAUAUUUUUAAUAAGAUUUUUAAGGUCAAGAACACGGUUAUGAAAUGUGGGCACAGUCUGCUUAGUCAAAGUUGAGGUUGAUGUGAUUUUAUUCAAAUUAGCUAUUUUUGUAGAAAAUAUGUAGUUUACUAUCCAGAUAAGCACUGCUCUUCUGACAGCUCAAUCUUACUUGUUUUUUUUUUGCUAUCCUUGAACUAUUCAUGAAAAAUUGUUUGGAAUUUGUGAGCAUUUGAAUGAAAUUUUCUGUAUAAUUAGAACAGUCAAAACUGCAGAACUGGAGAUAUGAGCCGCGUCACGACAAAACCAACAUAAUGGCAGUCAGUGAUUUUUCUCACUUAAUUUGGAAGAGACCUUGGCCUCUUGAUUUUGGGAAAAAUUGUCGCUAAAAUUACUGAUUUGGGAAAUAAAAAAAGCUGCUUUAAGUUGAGAUUUUUGGGAAAACUGCAUGAUUUUAAAGAAAAUUUUAAUUGGGAAGAGGCCUUUUUUCGGAGUCUGUUAUAGAAGUAGGAAAAUCACUGAAUGGGUUUGCAUCCGCGCUGUCUGAUCAGGAUCCAUGCUGUUCGCUUACAGACCCUAUAACAAGUAAAGACACUGAUAGCGAACAGCAUGGAUUCUGAUCAGACUGCGCAGAUGCGCAGGCUGGUCUGGAUCCAUGCUGGUCGCAAACCCAUUAUGUUGGUUUUGUCAUGACACAGCUCAUAUAAGCUUGCAUACCUCUUAAUGUUCUAAACUACUAUGCCGGCAGCUUUCAGUAUGUCUAAAAACAUUAAUCUGCAGUGCAAGCACUAUCAUAAUGUCAAAAAUAGAAAGCAUAGGCUAUAUACUUGGUUAUAGCUUCUGAAAUAUGUAUUUUCUUCUAACAUGUAUGUAUGAUGUCAAAAAAAACUGUUCAUGUAAAGUUUUACAUUUGAUAAUGCAAUUAAAAGGGAAUAAAUAAUAAAAAAAACAACCUGUGACUUGUUUACACACUAGAUGAUUUAUCAUUUAGAAGCAGAACAGCUGAAAAGCAUGACAUGUAAUUUAAAUGCCUUCUUUUUGUAUUAUUUUAAAAGAACUUUUAUCGCAACAUUUCAAUGAAAAAAAAAUGAAAUUUAAGCCAU